CAUAGUAUGGUGUAGUGGUUUGAACACUAGACUAUGACUCUGGAGACCAGGGUUUGAAUCCUCACUCUGG